UUCAACUCCAUGAGUAAGUAAGUAAGAAGGCGAUGUAUUCCAGAAGAUAGGAUAUAUAUAGAACCUCUGAUACCCAUUUCAUAGGACGCUGGGUGGGCUCCAGAACCAGUCUGGACGCUGUGGAGAAUAGAAAGAUCUUUUGUGCCAGCAAUAUUAAUUAAACCAUUUGCAUCCUGAAGUAUCAGAGUUUCUGCGCCCAGGUUCCCAGAAAUGUUGCGAUGUUUGUAGAUUUGUUAUAAGCACCAUUUGUUACAGAAAUUAAAUCAUCACUGUAGGAUACUAGAAGUGCUAGGAACAGCUAAGCGUCUACUUUCCUUCCAUCACAAUUUGUAUACCUGAUGAGACAAAGACUUUUGUAUGUAUGCAGAAUGAAGGCAAUAAAACAAUGUUAUAAGGACUACAUUUUACAGGACAUCUCAUGUAUAUAUAAUAAUAAAAAUUAAAGUUGUAAAGAUGUCUCCAGAGCAAGUAUAUCUAUAUUAAUAUGUCAACAAUUAAAAAAAAAUAUCUUGCGCGCUAGCUUAUCCGCAUUCAUUUCACGGCCACCUGCAUGACCACGCGGCAUUCUGUGUAAAUUAGAUUACGCAAUUUCCAUUGUAGUAGGUAUUACAGUGGGCACUGUUAAAUUAAUAUUUAAUUAAAUGAUUCGCAAUUGUGAAAAAAAAAAGUUUUAUUGACUAGGAAAUGUAACUUUAUGUUUACCUGAUUUGAUGGCUUAAUUUAUAGUAAUAUGCAGAGCGGCCCAGAAGGCAGUUAACCUAAAAUACUCGUAUUCCGUCGUAUUAACAGUAAUGUUCAGAUUUGAACCUGCCUGUCUAUUUGUAGAAAGGGAUCGGAGAGUUGUGACUUGUGAACCGAACACGGAGGAUUUCAGUUGGAACAAUUGCUGGAUAUUCAGAGCACCUGGAACUGGAGUAAGGUCCUCAAGCAAUGACACAGGGUGUCGAACACCCUGGCAUCAAACCCACAGCAUCCUGCAGAAGUUGAUAUAAAACGGCUAUCCGGAAGAUAAAGAUCUAUUGUUGGAAGACUAUUCAUGCUAUAGUCAUCAUAUUGCCACGUUAUACCAAUGGCAGACAGGCGAAUUCUGAAGAUAAUUUUAACUUACAAUUCAAGAGGAAGCAUAAGGUGCCCACAGUCAACAGAUGGAGGUCUUGCGAUGAGCCGUCCUCUCCUCCCCCUUGAGAGCUUCUACAAAUUUUGUGAGAGAAUAUAUU